GAAAGAGGCGCAUUGUUAAAAAUGGAGAUUGCAUUGUUGCAGUUUGCAGGCUACACUCGCUCGCUCUCUCUCUCCCCCCCAACCUCCUCUUUUUCCUCUUCAAAAUUUGUGCCAGUGCAGUGUCUCCACCGGGCAGGAUUGAAACUUUGGCAAACACGUAUCCAUUGCAUUCAUUUCUUUCCCCUUGUUUUGGUCUGGUUUUCUGGAAUGAAAGAAGCCUCUUGUUUUACAAACCUCUUUGCAUUUCUAAUGUGGUUUCUUUCAGAUUUUUAUUAGAUAUGUUACUUAAAAGGGAAUUAAGGGUUUGGACAGAUUGUGGCACACAAACACACACAAAAACAUGUCUGUUUUCACAUCCCUAGCUGUGGUUUUAAAAUUGUGUUAAGGAAAUGGAUCAUUUGGGUUAGUAGGGGAAUUUUAUCUGGUCCUGUAUGUUUGCUUUUAUUCUUCGAGUGCUAAUGGGCCUGUGCAACAGUUGCUGGUAAAUGGCUGAUUAAAAAGCAAAGCAGAAAGCCAAACAAGACCCACCCAACUUUGGUUAUUCAUUCGAUUCAAAAUUGUUUUUGGUUAAAUCAAAAAUGAAAGUACAAAACCGCAGGAACGCGCAUCUUAGCUCAUUUGAUCGCUUUGCCUUGCUUGGGAAAUGCAGUUUCGUGUCACCUGUUGCAGAAGAUAUGUAGUUGAUCAUCUAGACAUAAUUGCUGAAGAUAAACUUUUGGACCAACUUCUAAGUCACACAGCAUCAUUAUCAGAUUUAUUACACAACGACUUUUUUGUUUUCACUCUAUUUCUGAGGAAAAAGCCUUCCCGAAAUCCGUAAUGAAUUUCUCCAUGGUAACCCCUCUUCUGUUUUCACACAGAAAAGUUUCUCUAGACUGUUGCUAAGAUGCAUUUUGUUAAAUACCCCCCCCCCACAAAGGCUGCUUUGUAUUAAAUACGUAGUUGGAAUUUACUAAAUUGUGAAAUUAACGUAACCGAAGCAACAACCGGC
rnacentral:lncRNA from 1 species